rnacentral:rRNA from 1 species
GACGGACGCUGGCGGCGUGCUUAACACAUGCAAGUCGAACGGAAAGGCCCUGCUUUUGUGGGGUGCUCGAGUGGCGAACGGGUGAGUAACACGUGAGUAACCUGCCCUUGACUUUGGGAUAACUUCAGGAAACUGGGGCUAAUACCGGAUAGGAGCUCCUGCUGCAUGGUGGGGGUUGGAAAGUUUCGGCGGUUGGGGAUGGACUCGCGGCUUAUCAGCUUGUUGGUGGGGUAGUGGCUUACCAAGGCUUUGACGGGUAGCCGGCCUGAGAGGGUGACCGGCAACAUUGGGACUGAGAUACGGCCCAGACUCCUACGGGAGGCAGCAGUGGGGAAUAUUGCACAAUGGGCGGAAGCCUGAUGCAGCAACGCCGCGUGCGGGAUGACGGCCUUCGGGUUGUAAACCGCUUUCGCCUGUGACGAAGCGUGAGUGACGGUAAUGGGUAAAGAAGCACCGGCUAACUACGUG